UACGUAGGAUGCAAGCGUUGUCCGGAUUUACUGGGCGUAAAGCGCGCGCAGGCGGCACUCUAAGUACGCUGUGAAAUAUCCCGGCUCAACCGGGAGGGUGCAGUGUAGACUAGGGAGCUAGAGGUCGGUAGAGGGGGGUGGAAUUGCUGGUGUAGCGGUGAAAUGCGUAGAGAUCAGCAGGAACACCCGUGGCGAAGGCGGCCCCCUGGGCCGUACCUGACGCUGAGGCGGCGAAAGGCUGAGG
rnacentral:rRNA from 1 species